UAAGGAAUAUUGGUCAAUGGACGCAAGUCUGAACCAGCCAUGCCGCGUGAAGGAUGAAGGUCCUCUAGAUUGUAAACUUCUUUUAUCUGGGACGAAAACGGGAUUUUUAUCUCAAUUGACGGUACCAGAGGAAUAAGCACCGGCUAACUCCGUGCCAGCAGCCGCGGUAAUACGGAGGGUGCGAGCGUUAUCCGGAUCUACUGGGUUUAAAGGGUGCGUAGGUGGGCUUAUAAGUCAGUGGUGAAAUCUCCGAGCUUAACUUGGAAACUGCCGUUGAUACUAUAGGUCUUGAAUUAUCUGGAGGUAAGCGGAAUAUGUCAUGUAGCGGUGAAAUGCUUAGAUAUGACAUAGAACACCAAUUGCGAAGGCAGCUUACUACAUAUAAAUUGACGCUGAGGCACGAAAGCGUGGGGAUCAAAC
rnacentral:rRNA from 1 species